rnacentral:rRNA from 1 species
ACGGAAGGGGCAAGCGUUGUUCGGAAUCAUUGGGCGUAAAGGGCACGUAGGUGGUCUUGUGUGUCUAUCGUGAAAGCACACGGCUCCACCGUGUAAAGUCGGUGGAAACUGCAGGACUUGAGGUUGGGAGGGGUUGGUGGAAUUCCCUGUGUAGCGGUGAAAUGCGUAGAGAUGGGGGAGAACACUUGUGGCGAAGGCGGCCAGCUGGACCAAUCCUGACACUGAGGCGCGACAGCGUGGGGAGCAAACAGGA